rnacentral:rRNA from 1 species
AACGAACGCUGGCGGCGUGGAUUAGGCAUGCAAGUCGAACGCGAAAAAGGUCCUUCGGGGCCUGAGUAGAGUGGCAAACGGGUGAGUAACGCGUGGGGAAACCUGCCCUUAUGUUGGGGAGUAACACUUCCAACGAGGUGCUAAUACCGAAUGUGAUUGUUGGAUCGCAUGUUCCGACAAUGAAAGGCGGCCUCUGCUUGCAAGCUGUCACAUAAGGAUGGUCCCGCGUCCCAUUAGCUAGUUGGUGAGGUAAUGGCCCACCAAGGCUAUGAUGGGUAGCCGGCCUUAGCGGGUGUCCGGCCACACUGGGACUGAGAUACGGCCCAGACUCCUACGGGAGGCAGCAGUGGGGAAUAUUGCGCAAUGGGCGAAAGCCUGACGCAGCGACGCCGCGUGAGGGACGAAGGUCUUCGGAUUGUAAACCUCUUUCAGCAGGGACGAAGCGAAAGUGACUGUACCUGCAGAAGAAGCACCGGCUAACUACGUGCCAGCAGACCC